GACGAACGCUGGCGGCGUGCUUAACACAUGCGAGUCGAACGGAAAGGCCCUGCUUUUGUGGGGUGCUCGAGUGGCGAACGGGUGAGUAACACGUGAGUAACCUGCCCUUGACUUUGGGAUAACUUCAGGAAACUGGGGCUAAUACCGGAUAGGAGCUCCUGCUGCAUGGUGGGGGUUGGAAAGUUUCGGCGGUUGGGGAUGGACUCGCGGCUUAUCAGCUUGUUGGUGGGGUAGUGGCUUACCAAGGCUUUGACGGGUAGCCGGCCUGAGAGGGUGGCCGGCCACAUUGGGACUGAGAUACGGACCAGAAUCCUACGGGAGGCAGCAGUGGGGAAUAUUGCACAAUGGGCGGAAGCCUGAUGCAGCAACGCCGCGUGCGGGAUGACGGCCUUCGGGUUGUAAACCGCUUUCGCCUGUGACGAAGCGUGAGUGACGGUAAUGGGUAAAGAAGCACCGGCUAACUACGUG
rnacentral:rRNA from 1 species